GUCGUGCCGGUUCGAUCGGGAUACUCAUCAAAUUAAAUCGAAAACCGAGCAGACUUCGCUUGUCGAUGGCGGGCCACAUUAUAGCUGAAAGGCCGGUGGAUUACAAAGACAGUGAGCACUCAAAUCUUGUAACACAGGAGUUUUCAUCACAUCACUGGGCGGCCCCUU
rnacentral:sRNA from 1 species